GCAUGCAUUAUGUAUCAUUCUCCUACACACUUCAGCCACUAUUAAGCUUGUCUUCCUUUCCCUUGUUUCUUCCAUUGCCCAGCCCAGCCCAAACUAAAGUGUGACUCUCAGAUUUCAGAAACAGGUUAUACUUUUGUCAUCUCAUAUUUCUGACAUCCUAUUUUUGAAAAGAGAUUAAAUUGAUCCAUUAAACAUGUAAGAAUGGGAAUGACAGUAAGGAGCUGCCAUGUGGAUACACUUCUGGAGCGAAAAAGGUACAAGAGCCCUUGUUGAAAACAGUACUGCAACUGUGACAUGACAUCUGCUAUUUCUCCUCCAUCCAUAAGGCCUUUACCUUGGAGCCUCUCCUGUUAGAUCAUUCUUCUUGUAGACAUGAUAAAGAUUUUACAGGUUAUGACCAUAAGUUCCUAAGGAACUGGUGCAGCCAGGAUCUGUUGUACUUCCGAGUCCUGUAGCACAGAUAAAAGGAAAGUCAAGCAGAGGAAAAUAAAGGGAGAGACAGAAUUUAAGGUAAAACUAACCAGAAACAGAACAACUUGGAUCCAGGCUUCCCCCUUCCUUCAGAUGCCAGAGACUGAUCCCUUUACAUAAACUGAAACGUAAGAAACUCAACAUGCCACUUAUCCUGGAUUAAGAGAACCAUCUGCAGACUACAGUAUCCUCAGUUGUGGAGUGAUCAUGGUUGGAAAGUGUAGUUUCUAAACAUUAUCAGUCUGGCUUUCAUGAAUCUGAAUGCUGUUUUACUACAUAAGUGUGAAUCCAACCCUAACCAUUCCAUGAUUCUAUUAUUAUAUAUUUAAGCUGCAAUUUAAAUUUAAAAUCCAAUUUCAGUGAUUAACAGAAGCAACUGGUGAACUGAUGGAAAAUGUCAGGUGAGAUCUAAACACGUGACUGAAGAAGCAACUGAAGCAAGUACCUUCAAGUGAUAUAGAAAAAUAAUAGGUAUUUGUUUUUCUUUAUUGACGGUGAAAGCUCUUGUUCAGUAUUGCUUAUUUGCAAGAAUAUGUUAGUGGCAGAAAUACCGGGACAUUGAGAAGCAUAUGUUCAAAGAUAAAAUCUAGGAUUAACUUCUGAGAAAUCUUAAAUGCUCCAUUUUUUUCUGCAAUAAUAUAUUUUGUGUAACUAGAUUUAUUUUUCAGUCAGAUCCAAAUAAGCAAAGGCUAACAAAUACAGCGUAUUUCAACUUUAUGGUGGCUCAAGUCACCUCUUUCAAUCCCUAAAAUACUGACUAUCUGGGUCUCAGUAUGCAUAUUAGAAAUGACCUUGUAUCUUCAGCCUGGAGAUCAAACCUCCACUCAUAUCUAAUUUUGUCAUACUUCUUUUUCCGUAAGACCUUAAGUCUUGACACUGCCAAACUUCAUUCAGCUACAAAGAGAUUAGACAAUUUUUAACCUUGCAAAAAAUCAAAUGCGGGAUAUCUGGGUGAAUAUAAAAUUCAAAUUUAUAAUUAA